rnacentral:rRNA from 1 species
GAUGAACGCUAGCUACAGGCUUAACACAUGCCAGUCGAGGGGAAACGAUGAGAGAGCUUGCUCUCUUAGGCGUCGUCCGGCGCACGGGUGAGUAACGCGUAUCCAACCUACCCAUUACAGGGGGAUAACCUUGCGAAAGUAAGACUAAUACCCCAUGGCAUUUUAUGGUGGCAUCAUUAUAGGAUUAAAGAUUUAUUGGUAAUGGAUGGGGAUGCGUCUGAUUAGCUUGUUGGCGGGGUAACGGCCCACCAAGGCAACGAUCAGUAGGGGUUCUGAGAGGAAGGUCCCCCACAUUGGAACUGAGACACGGUCCAAACUCCUACGGGAGGCAGCAGUGAGGAAUAUUGGUCAAUGGGCGAGAGCUUGAACCAGCCAAGUAGCGUGCAGGAUGACGGCCCUAUGGGUUGUAAACUGCUUUUAUAGGGGAAUAAAGUGAGCUACGUGUAGUUUAUUGCAUGUACCCUAUGAAUAAGGACCGGCUAAUUCCGUG